GACAGGUUUUGAUAAAUCUCCCCCUUUGUCAUUACAGUAAAACCACUACUAGUACUCCACGGCUUCUGACGCAGCUUUAUCCAGGAGAAUGUUCAGACAGUUGAUGUCAGCAGACCCCCCGCCUGUGAGGACAAUAUGAAAAUGCCUACUAGAUUCGACGAAAUGAUCAGUCUACUUCAACUUCUUCCUCAGAUGACUCGUCUUCUCUUCAGCCUGAUCUCCUAAGUCAUGUCUUUAUGGAUUUAACCCUCAUACCUUUUAAGAUGAAGAAUUGAGCUUCUUACCUGUUUACGGUUUAGAUAUGGACUGUUUUACACACAUCAAAGAAAGGAGACGUUAUUAGGUCACCUGGACUUAUAUCACCUCUCAUGAUAUAUGAUUGGUCAGCACACCUAUACCUGUUCAGCAUGUUUAG